GUGCUCACUUUGGCAGCACAUCGACUAAAAUGGGAAUGAUCCAAAGAUCAGCAUGGCCUCUGCACAAGGAUGACAAACAAAUUCGGUAAGUGUUCCAUUUUUUU
ensembl:snRNA U6 U6 spliceosomal RNA